GCUGUGCCUUAGUCCCAGGUACUCAGGAGGCUGAGGCUGGAGGAUUGCUUGAGCCCAGGAGUGCUGUGCUGAUGGGAUGUUUGCACUAAGUGCAGCAUCAAUGUGGUGACCUCCUGGGAACAGGAGACUCCCAGGUUGCCUAAGGAGGGGUGACCUGGCCCAGGUCAGAAACAGAGCAGGUCAAAACUCCCUUGCUGAUCAGUAGUGGGAUCGCACCUUUGAACAGCCACUGCACUCCAGCCUGAGCAACAUAGUGAGACCCUGCCUUUG
rnacentral:SRP_RNA from 1 species